ensembl:snRNA U1 U1 spliceosomal RNA
AUCCUUACCUGUCAGGGGAGAUACCGUGAUCACAAAGGUGGUUCUGCAGUGCGCGGCUCAUCCAUUGCACUCUGAUGUGCUGAUCCCUGCGAUUUCCCCAAACGUGGGAAACUCGACUGCAGAAUUUGUAGUAGUGGGGGACUGCGUUUGUGCUUUCCCCUA